UGGGAACUAAAGGUGUAUGGAACGGUGGCGCUGCUGCUCACCGUACCAUGACAAGCUGACAAAGGUCUGACCCAGAAAGGGUUUUUAGUCCAGUAGAAGUUUUGGCUUUAGGCUAAAGAGAGACUUGUUAAUUAGAGGUAAAAGUGGCUGGAACAGGUCAACCCUAACCCAGAGGUCAGACUACAACCCUAACCCAGAGGUCAGACUACAACCCUAACCCAGAGGUCAGACUACAACCCUAACCCAGAGGUCAGACUACAACCCUAACCCAGAGGUCAGACUACAACCCUAACCCAGAGGUCAGACUACAACCCUAACCCAGAGGUCAGACUACAACCCUAACCCAGAGGUCAGACUACAACCCUAACCCAGAGGUCAGACUACAACCCUAACCCAGAGGUCAGACUACAACCCUAACCCAGAGGUCAGACUACAACCCUAACCCAGAGGUCAGACUACAACCCUAACCCAGAGGUCAGACUACAGCGUGUUAGGAAACAUCUUGGCAGUGAACAUUGUCAGUUCCAGUUCAGGGGUUAAUGGGAAGCAAGAUAAUAUUUAGAGGGUAUGUUUUUUAUUUGAAGUUGAAUAUUGGAGCAUAUUAAACACACAAGAACACAAAUCCACACAUUCCUAUGUACACAAGCACUGUAGCUUCAAUAAUUAUUCUCUGAAUAAGUUUUGGUUCACUAAUCCAGAGAAACUCCGGCUUCAGUGAGUGAUCUCUCUGUUUCGGAUGACAAAUCCAGAAGCCAUACGAAUGCACACAAAAAACCCUGAUCCACCCGCAAACAAAGAGACUAGCAAAACAAGAAAACACGCAUUGUUAAGAUUCUUAUUUCCUAUUUUUGAUCGACAUUGCUGGCUGCCUUGGAGGUGACGGCCUCUCUUUUCUGUCUCCAUCCCUGGACCAGCUGUCAUGCAACAUUUAGUCACCAACCCAGUUCUAUUGCCCUCUCUCAGGCUGCCACUAUGACACAGCUGACAGCCAGUCACCAGGGUCUAUUUUUACUCCUCCACUACUAGACCCGGGCCCGGGGGGAGGCACAGCCUCCCCCGCUGACAUGCUGGCACCUUCUGGGCGUCUCUCCGUCUUUCUCUCGCGCUCAUCGGCCUGUCCUCUCUGCUGAGCAGAACAGACAUACGCUCCCGCGAUCUGACGCGCGCGUUUAUUGGUUGACGGCGUUUCAGUCCGAACUGAUCUUCAUCAGAACCAUGCCAGCUCCGACGUUUUCUCUGUGUGACGGUAUGGAGGUCCAGGACGGGACUGACAGUCACCUCCGUCACAGAGCACCUCCCUGUUUCUUAGUGUCCAAUUCACAGUUUAUCCAACUGCCAAGAAGUGAACAGGAGAAGAGCACAUAUACAUCCAAAACCCACAGGAAUACGUUGAAGCAGUGGCUAGGUUCCUUCCGGAACCACAGUCUGCUGCCGAACAGAACAGCCUCUGCCAGCGGGACGGAACCGCCCUUUGAUUCCUUCUCCAGCAACCCGCCUGAAGAUGACCGCAAAUCCGUCCACCUCCAUGGGGGUCCACAUGGUCCCCAUCCUCCCACUUCUCUCUGAUCCAAUGUCAUUGUGUUUCGUGCC